GACGAACGCUGGCGGCGUGCUUAACACAUGCAAGUCGAACGGAAAGGCCCUGCUUUUGUGGGGUGCUCGAGUGGCGAACGGGUGAGUAACACGUGAGUAACCUGCCCUUGACUUUGGGAUAACUUCAGGAAACUGGGGCUAAUACCGGAUAGGAGCUCCUGCUGCAUGUUGGGGAUCGGAAAGUUUCGGCGGUUGGGGAUGGACUCGCUGCUUACCAGCUUGUUGGUGAGGUAGUGGCUUACCAAGGGUUUCACGGGUAGCCGGCCUGAGAGGGUGACCGGCCACAUUGGGACUGAGGUAGGGCCCAGACUCGUACGGGAGGCAGCAGUGGAGAAUCUUGCACAAUGGGGGGAAGCCUGAUGCAGCAACGCCGCGUGCGGGAUGACGGCUUUCGGGUUGUAAACCGCUUUCGCAUGUGACGAAGAGUGAGUGACGGUAAUGGGUAAAGAAGCACCGGCUAACUACGUG
rnacentral:rRNA from 1 species